rnacentral:rRNA from 3 species
CCGAGUUGUAAUUUGCAGAGGAUGCUUUGGGCGCGGUGCCUUCCGAGUUCCCUGGAACGGGACGCCUUAGAGGGUGAGAGCCCCGUACGGUUGGACACCAAGCCUCUGUAAAGCUCCUUCGACGAGUCGAGUAGUUUGGGAAUGCUGCUCUAAAUGGGAGGUAAAUUUCUUCUAAAGCUAAAUAUUGGCCAGAGACCGAUAGCGCACAAGUAGAGUGAUCGAAAGAUGAAAAGCACUUUGAAAAGAGGGUUAAAUAGCACGUGAAAUUGUUGAAAGGGAAGCGUUUGCGACCAGACCUUUUCCCAGCGGAUCAUCCGGUGUUCUCACCGGUGCACUUCGCUGGGUUGAGGCCAGCAUCGGUUUCCGCAGGGGGAUAA